rnacentral:rRNA from 1 species
GAUGAACGCUGGCGGCGUGCUUAACACAUGCAAGUCGAGCGAAGCGCUCUGUCCGGAUUCUUUCGGGAUGACGGACUUAGUGACUGAGCGGCGGACGGGUGAGUAACGCGUGGGUAACCUGCCUCAUACAGGGGGAUAACAGUUAGAAAUGACUGCUAAUACCGCAUAAGACCACAGUACCGCAUGGUACAGGGGUAAAAACUCCGGUGGUAUGAGAUGGAUCCGCGUCUGAUUAGCUGGUUGGUGGGGUAACGGCCUACCAAGGCGACGAUCAGUAGCCGGCCUGAGAGGGCGACCGGCCACAUUGGGACUGAGACACGGCCCAAACUCCUACGGGAGGCAGCAGUGGGGAAUAUUGCACAAUGGGGGAAACCCUGAUGCAGCGACGCCGCGUGAAGGAAGAAGUAUUUCGGUAUGUAAACUUCUAUCAGCAGGGAAGAAAAUGACGGUACCUGACUAAGAAGCCCCGGCUAACUACGUGCCAGCAGCCGCGGUAAUACGUAGGGGGCAAGCGUUAUCCGGAUUUACUGGGUGUAAAGGGAGCGUAGACGGAAAGGCAAGUCUGAUGUGAAAGCCCGGGGCUCAACCCCGGGACUGCAUUGGAAACUGUUUUUCUGGAGUGUCGGAGAGGUAAGCGGAAUUCCUAGUGUAGCGGUGAAAUGCGUAGAUAUUAGGAGGAACACCAGUGGCGAAGGCGGCUUACUGGACGAUCACUGACGUUGAGGCUCGAAAGCGUGGGGAGCAAACAGG